GAGUUUGAUCGUGGCUCAGAUUGAACGCUGGCGGCAUGCCUUACACAUGCAAGUCGAACGGCAGCACGGGAGCUUGCUCCUGGUGGCGAGUGGCGAACGGGUGAGUAAUGCAUCGGAACGUAUCCUGGAGGUGGGGGAUAACGUAGCGAAAGUUACGCUAAUACCGCAUAUUCUGUGAGCAAGGAAAGGCGGGGGACCUUCGGGCCUCGCGCUCUUGGAGCGGCCGAUGUCGGAUUAGCUAGUUGGUGAGGUAAAGGCUCACCAAGGCGACGAUCCGUAGCAGGUCUGAGAGGAUGAUCUGCCACACUGGAACUGAGACACGGUCCAGACUCCGUACGGGAGGCAGCAGUGGG
rnacentral:rRNA from 1 species